UACGGAGGGUGCAAACGUUGCUCGGAAUCAUUGGGCGUAAAGCGCACGUAGGCGGACCGCUAAGUCGGAUGUGAAAUCCCUCAGCUUAACUGAGGAAGUGCAUUCGAAACUGACGGUCUUGAGUAUGGAAGAGGGUCGCGGAAUUCCCGGUGUAGAGGUGAAAUUCGUAGAUAUCGGGAGGAACACCAGUGGCGAAGGCGGCGACCUGGGCCAAUACUGACGCUGAGGUGCGAAAGCGUGGGAGCAAACAGG
rnacentral:rRNA from 1 species